rnacentral:rRNA from 2 species
UACGGAGGGUGCAAGCGUUGUCCGGAUUUAUUGGGUUUAAAGGGUGCGUAGGCGGCUCUUUAAGUCAGCGGUGAAAGUCCAGAGCUCAACUCUGGGAUUGCCAUUGAUACUGAAGAGCUUGAGUAUAGUUGAGGUAGGCGGAAUUGACAGUGUAGCGGUGAAAUGCAUAGAUAUUGUCAAGAACACCGAUUGCGUAGGCAGCUUACUAAGCUAUAACUGACGCUGAGGCACGAAAGUGUGGGGAUCAAACAGG